rnacentral:ncRNA from 2 species
CUCCAGCCCCGAUUGCAGCGGAAAUCCGUUUCUGCCGGGGUCCGGCACAAAAGAUUACAGCGCAAAGCGGGAGAGGCU